rnacentral:rRNA from 1 species
CAAGCCCUGGAAACGGGGUCUAAUACCGGAUAGCACUCCCGCCCUCCUGGGUGGGGGUUGAAAGCUCCGGCGGUGGAGGAUGAGCCCGCGGCCUAUCAGCUGGUUGGUGAGGUAACGGCUCACCAAGGCGACGACGGGUAGCCGGCCUGAGAGGGCGACCGGCCACACUGGGACUGAGACACGGCCCAGACUCCUACGGGAGGCAGCAGUGGGGAAUAUUGCACAAUGGGCGCAAGCCUGAUGCAGCGACGCCGCGUGGGGGAUGACGGCCUUCGGGUUGUAAACCUCUUUCAGCAGGGAAGAAGCCCUAGGGUGACGGUACCUGCAGAAGAAGCGCCGGCUAACUACGUGCCAGCAGCCGCGGUAAUACGUAGGGCGCAAGCGUUGUCCGGAAUUAUUGGGCGUAAAGAGCUCGUAGGCGAUACUUAAGUUAGGGGUGAAAUCCCAGAGCUCAACUCUGGAACUGCCUUUAAUACUGGGCUGGCUGGAGUGUGGUAGGGGAGAUCGGAAUUCCUGGUGUAGCGGUGAAAUGCGCAGAUAUCAGGAGGAACACCGGUGGCGAAGGCGGAUCUCUGGGCCAUUACUGACGCUGAGGAGCGAAAGCGUGGGGAGCGAACAGGAUUAGAUACCCUGGUAGUCCACGCCGUAAACGGUGGGAACUAAGCUGUUGGCAAGUUUACUUGUCGGUGGCGCAGCUAACGCAUUAAGCUUCCCCGCCCUGG